CUAGUACCUGCAGUCGAGCGGACAGAUGGGAGCUUGCUGCCUGAUGUUAGCGGCGGACGGGUGAGUAACACGUGGGUAACCUGCCUGUAAGACUGGGAUAACUCCGGGAAACCGGGGCUAAUACCGGAUGGUUGUUUGAACCGCAUGGUUCAGACAUAAAAGGUGGCUUCGGCUACCACUUACAGAUGGACCCGCGGCGCAUUAGCUAGUUGGUGAGGUAACGGCUCACCAAGGCGACGAUGCGUAGCCGACCUGAGAGGGUGAUCGGCCACACUGGGACUGAGACACGGCCCAGACUCCUACGGGAGGCAGCAGUAGGGAAUCUUCCGCAAUGGACGAAAGUCUGACGGAGCAACGCCGCGUGAGUGAUGAAGGUUUUCGGAUCGUAAAGCUCUGUUGUUAGGGAAGAACAAGUGCCGUUCAAAUAGGGCGGCACCUUGACGGUACCUAACCAGAAAGCCACGGCUAACUACGUGCCAGCAGCCGCGGUAAUACGUAGGUGGCAAGCGUUGUCCGGAAUUAUUGGGCGUAAAGGGCUCGCAGGCGGUUUCUUAAGUCUGAUGUGAAAGCCCCCGGCUCAACCGGGGAGGGUCAUUGGAAACUGGGGAACUUGAGUGCAGAAGAGGAGAGUGGAAUUCCACGUGUAGCGGUGAAAUGCGUAGAGAUGUGGAGGAACACCAGUGGCGAAGGCGACUCUCUGGUCUGUAACUGACGCUGAGGAGCGAAAGCGUGGGGAGCGAACAGGAUUAGAUACCCUGGUAGUCCACGCCGUAAACGAUGAGUGCUAAGUGUUAGGGGGUUUCCGCCCCUUAGUGCUGCAGCUAACGCAUUAAGCACUCCGCCUGGGGGAGUACGGUCGCAGGACUGAAAGUCAAAGGAAAUUGACGGGGGCCCCGCACAAAGCGGGUGGACCAUGUGG
rnacentral:rRNA from 1 species